ensembl:lncRNA
AAGCUUCUGCCUGGCAAAAUGAAGUAAAAUUCUCCUCUGCAUGGGAAGUGUCCCUUCUGGGCUAAAGAAACAAGGAUCAUCUUUAAAUAAAUACUCAGAAGUGGAAUUGCUGGAUCAUAUGGUGGCAUUAUUUUUAAUUUUUGUGGAACCUCUAUAUAUGGACAGAGGAGCCUGGAUGGCUAUAGUCCAUGGAGCCGCAAAAGAGUUGGACCGACAGCGACUAAACAACAGUACUGGACUGUUUUCCAUCGUGGCUGCACCAAUUUACUCUCCCACCAAGUGCUCCAACACUUUUUUCUUGUCUUUUUGAUGAAUUCCAUUUCUGCAAGUGUGGAGUGAUAUCGCAUUGUUCUUUCCCCUAAUAUUAGUGAUACUGAGCAUCUUUCAUGUGAAUGUUUGGAAUAUGUAUAUUGUCUAUGAAAAUAGGUUUUUAAAAAUUGAUAUGUAGGAGAAGGAAAUGGCAACCCACUCCAGUGUUCUUGCCUAGAGAAUCUCAGGGACAGGGGAGCGUGGUAGGCUCCCUUCUAUGGGGCCCCACAGAGUCAGAGAUGACUGAAGUGACUUAGCAGCCGCAGUGAUAGAAAAUGAAAACAAAAAGUUACUAUAUCCUCAGAAUAUUGUCUGUCACAUGCCAAUCAAUACAAUUAAAGAUAAUAGAAAUAGCCAAAAAAAAAAUUGAUAGGUAUGUAUGUAUACUUUGUUUUGAAUAUCAAUCCCUUCCUUAUCUGAUAUAUUCUUUUCAAAUAUCUUCUCCCAUUCAGUAGGCGGCUUUUUCCAUUUGUUGAUGGUUUCCUUAGCUGUGCAAAAGCUUUUUCAGUGAAUAUAGCCCCUUUUGUUUAUCUUCGCUUUCAUUGCCCUUGCCUGGAAAGACAUAUACAAACAAUGUUAAGAUCAACAUCAAAGAGGUUACUGCCUAUGUUUUUUUCUAAAAGUUUUAUCAUUUCAAGUGUUACAUUUAAGUCUUGAAUUCAUUUCAGUUCAGUUUAGUCGCUCAGUCGUGUCCGACUCUUUGCGACCCCAUGAAUCGCAGCACGCCAGGCCUCUCUGUCCAUCACCAACUCCCAGAGUUCACUCAGAC